AUCGAGAUGUGGAGUUAUGCAGCCAAGGUGGCCCCAGCGGACGGCUUCUCUGAUCUUGCCAUGCAAGUGAUGACAUCCCCAUCAAAGAAUUACAUCCUGUCUGUGAUCAGCGGGAGCAUCUGCAUAUUGUUCCUGAUUGGCCUGAUGUGUGGACGGAUCACUAAGAGGGUGACACGAGAGCUGCCUGUAGACAAUUCUGUCACACCAACAGAACUGCUGGUACUUCAGAACCGACUCACCUGACCUGCAACUCAAAUUUUUUUUUUAAAAACAGAAA
rnacentral:lncRNA from 1 species